GGUUGGUAGGGGCAAAUAAAGACUAUUUAGGAUCAGCAGAAAUUAUUUCUACUCCACGCACAAUGCAAAUGCUAGAUCAAAGAGAGUUAUAAAAAGCAUUAGCACCAGCUCGAACACAACAACGUUUAACCCUGUGAUGUCCUCUGUGAAUAACGGUUUCAUUAAAAUGACACAAGAUAUAUCAAAAGUCACUCAAGGUAGCAGGGCCG